GUAUAAUUUAAAAAUAUAUAUUAAAUUAUAUUUCGAAAUUUAUAAUGCCAUAUUUGAAUAUAUUUAUUUUAAUGAUGAUUUAUGAGUUAUUUCUAUAUUUUAAAAAAAUUCUAAAAAUAUAAAUUGACAUUAAAUAUAAUAUAUGAGUUAUUAUCAUAUUUUAAAAAGUUUAUCAAAAAUAUAAAUUAACAUUAAAUACAAUUGUUCAUGUCAUAUUAAGCCAUAAGAUAUGUCAUCAAUUUCAGUAGCCAUGUCAUAUUUGUUUUAUGAAAUUGAUGGUAGAAAGAACAUGUGGCAAAAUCACUUCGUAGUCCAGCGGAUGUGGAAGCAAUAAUCAAACAUAUAUUCUAGGGAUGUUAAUAAUGGGUUUUUACCCAUAGGGUACCCGAAGCCCGGUUGAUAUUUGAAACCCAAAACCCGGUUUUUUAGAUUUUAAAACUCGCGGGUUUUUGUUGGGCGGGUCUUGUUUUGUUUAUUACCCUAUCGGGUUUACACUGUCGGGCUUCGGGUACCCAAUGGGUUUAAAAAAAAAAAAAUUAACAGAAACAACGUCGUUUUACAUCAUAUUUUACCCUAAUUUUUGUUUCUCCCGUGGCCACAGCCACAAAACAUUGAUCUAGAAAUUAGACAUGCUUUCUUGGGACGAUUCAUUCUAGAUUGGGUUCAUUGGUAAGAUUUCGAAAUGGGGUUUUCUGUUUUGAUUCUGAUAACUUUAGAAUCUGGUUGACUAACCAUUGAUUCUAUCCUAAUUGGUUUAGGCCCCAACGAAAGGAGUCAAAGCGGUUACCAGAAGAAGGUCCGUACGUGAUUAGUGAUUACCUUCCUCCUUCUCUCCAUUGUGUCUCAGUGAGACAGUCUCACGCUUCUUAUUCUUUAGUCCUCUCUACGGCUCGUAAUCAUAUCUCCGGAUGGAUUCACAAACACUUGACACACUUGCUGUUGAUCUUCUGGAAAUUGCUGUUGGUCUUCUGGAAAAUAUCCGAGAGAGUGUUAAGUUUGUCAAAGCAUCUGGGUCAAGGAUAGAAGCAUUCGCAGCAUGUGUUCAGAGUGCAGGGAUUAGGAGUGGAGCUGGAUUGUCUCUAGAUGUACCAACUAGAUGGAAUUCAACUUAUGAUAUGCUUGCUAGAGCUCUGAAGUUUCGUGACGCAUUCACUAGUUUGAAAGAGUGUGACAAGAGCUACAAUUACAGCGCUAUGGCGAUUUAGCUUAUUGGAAUGAUCAAGGACAGCGCUAUGGCGAUUUAGCUUCAAUUACACGGUUUACUUAUCUAUCUUUUACCGACAUAGAGGUUUUAGGUUAUUGGAAUGAUCAAGGACAGCGCUAUGGCGAUUUAGCUUCACUUGCAUGUGAUUUGCUCAGCAUUCCAAUCACAACUGUGGCAUCGGAAUCAGCAUUUAGCGUUGGAGGACGGGUGAUUAGUCCUUACAGAAACCGUCUUCUUCCAAAAAAUGUUCAAGCACUGCUUUGCACUCGAAACUGGUUAAGAGGUUUUGCUGAAUUUGAAGGUAGAUUAUUAGUUUUGAUAUUUGGUUUCUGAUUUCAUAUAUGAACUUUUAUGUAACUACAAAUUUUAUAUGAAAUGUCUUGGGUGAUUAUGAGUCUGUUUCUUUGAGUUGAUAUUAUGUUUCUGAGUCUGUUUCUUUGAGUUGAUACUAUGUUUCUGAGUCUGUUUCUUUAAGAUGAUACUAUGUUUCUGAAUCUGUUUCUUUAAGUUGAUAAUAUAUCUUAAUACUCUGUUUUAAU